rnacentral:misc_RNA from 1 species
GAUGAAGAACGUAGCGAAAUGCGAUAAGAAAUGUGAAUUGCAGAAUUCAGUGAAUCAUCGAAUCUUUGAACGCACAUUGCGCCCCUUGGUAUUCCAUGGGGCAUGCCUGUUCGAGCGUCAUUUGUACCUUCAAGCUUUGCUUGGUGUUGGGUGUUUGUCUCGCCUUUGCGUGUAGACUCGCCUUAAAAUAAUUGGCAGCCGGCGUAUUGAUUUCGGAGCGCAGUACAUCUCGCGCUUUGCACUCAUAACGACAGCGUCCAAAAGUACAUUUUACACUCUUGACCUCGGAUCAGGUAGGGAUACCCGCUGAACUUAAGCAUAUCAAUAAGCGGAGGA